GUUUGAUGGCGACCGGCGCACGGGUGAGUAACACGUAUCCAACCUGCCGAUGACUCGGGGAUAGCCUUUCGAAAGAAAGAUUAAUACCCGAUGGCAUAGUUCUUCCGCAUGGUGGAACUAUUAAAGAAUUUCGGUCAUCGAUGGGGAUGCGUUCCAUUAGGUUGUUGGCGGGGUAACGGCCCACCAAGCCUUCGAUGGAUGGGGGUUCUGAGAGGAAGGUCCCCCACAUUGGAACUGAGACACGGUCCAAACUCCUACGGGAGGCAGCAUG
rnacentral:rRNA from 1 species